CUUUUACUCUUCAUAUUUCUUCUUGUUGCUGGCAUCUUGGGUUGAAAUUCAGAAUUCCAAUAGCAAACAAUUCAGAUUCUCAAGAAGGCUAACGAACUUUCCUUUCUCUGUGAUGCUGAGGUUGCUAUCAUCCCAAUCCCUGUGAUACUAUUCCACUUGCAUGUGAGUUUGUAUGUUUGUUAUUGAUUUAUUAGCUUUUUCAACUUCCUGCUAAUUACAUAUUAAAUAGGACUUAUUAAGUUCUUAUAAUCUAAUUACCAUUGCUUCUCUGCUAGUAAAAUAUUGAGUUCUUGUUUAAAUCUCUUUCGUGAUUUCAGUAAGACACGCUACUUUCCACUUCAAUUUCUGAAACCAAGUAUAAUAAUAUUUUGUUGAUCUAGAAAACUGAUUUGGAAUAUGAUGGAUACACUUGAAUCUGAUACCGAAUUGUGGUAGGCCACGCUAGGUACUUCCCCUUUAGAUGUAAGAUUUGAGACGCUUAAAACCAAAUCUAAUGAUCUUUGUUUUCUUCCAAUGAUUAAUAUACCAACAUGUUAUAGGUGAUUUUACACAAGUUUUGGACAUUCUUAUGUUGUUUUCUCAGGUCAAUAUCAUACAUAAAAGAUGAUAAGUACUGUGUAGAAUUCUUCAUUUAUAUGGCAUCUCAGGUAUAGAUUUCUUCUUUAAUAAGUUUUAUCAUUACUCCUUUGACUAUAUGCAUGGUCCAAUGCUCAUCAUUUAUGUGCAAAACUAAGCCCAUUUCUAUGUUAAAGCCAAAAUGAAGACUAUGGCGACAAGAGGAAGUAAUGAUGAUACAUGUGGUUCAUUAAGUGACUUUUUCCAAUACAACAAUUAUUAUGACUUUCUCUCCCUCCCUGAGGUAUUUAAUUUUUACAUACUCUUGUUCAUGUGUUGUCUCUGCUGCAAUUUUAUAUGUUACUGUUUUUACUCUAUUUUAUCUUAUGGUUUAUUGCAGAUUCAGAAAAGGGGUUACAAAUUUUCUGAAAAUAUGUUUGAUUGAUUUUGGCAUGACUUGUGUUGGGAAGGAGCUUGUUAAAGAUGCUGCCAAAGUCGCUAAA
rnacentral:lncRNA from 1 species